rnacentral:rRNA from 1 species
GAUGAACGCUAGCUACAGGCUUAACACAUGCAAGUCGAGGGGCAGCAGGGAUUUAGCUUGCUAAAUCCGCUGGCGACCGGCGCACGGGUGCGUAACGCGUAUCCAACUUUCCCGUUACUCAGGGAUAGCCUUCCGAAAGGGAGAUUAAUACCUGAUGGUGUUUGAAAUUCGCAUGUUCUUCAAACUAAAGAUUUAUCGGUAACGGAUAGGGAUGCGUGACAUUAGAUAGUAGGCGGGGUAACGGCCCACCUAGUCUACGAUGUCUAGGGGUUCUGAGAGGAAGGUCCCCCACACUGGAACUGAGACACGGUCCAGACUCCUACGGGAGGCAGCAGUGAGGAAUAUUGGUCAAUGGUCGGAAGACUGAACCAGCCAAGUAGCGUGAAGGAUGAAGGUUCUAUGGAUUGUAAACUUCUUUUAUACGGGAAUAAAACCACCUACGUGUAGGUGCUUGUAUGUACCGUAUGAAUAAGCAUCGGCUAACUCCGUG